rnacentral:miRNA from 1 species
UAUAGCCCUGGCUGUCCUGGAACUCACUCUGUAAACCAGGCUGGCCUCGAACUCAGAAAUCCACCUGCCUCUGCCUCCUGGGUGCUGGGAUUAAAGGCGUGCACCACCAUUGCCCU